UACGGGGGGGGCAAGCGUUGUUCGGAAUUACUGGGCGUAAAGGGCUCGUAGGUGGCCAACUAAGUCAGACGUGAAAUCCCUCGGCUUAACCGGGGAACUGCGUCUGAUACUGGAUGGCUUGAGUUCGGGAGAGGGAUGCGGAAUUCCAGGUGUAGCGGUGAAAUGCGUAGAUAUCUGGAGGAACACCGGCGGCGAAGGCGGCAUCCUGGACCGACACUGACACUGAGGAGCGAAAGCCAGGGGAGCAAACGGG
rnacentral:rRNA from 1 species